GCUACUGUAGCUCAGUUGGCAGAGCAUAAGACUAUUAAUCUGAGGGCCAUGGGUUUCAGCCCCAUGUUGGGCA